rnacentral:rRNA from 1 species
UACGUAGGGUGCAAGCGUUAAUCGGAAUUACUGGGCGUAAAGCGUGCGCAGGCGGCUUUGCAAGACAGAUGUGAAAUCCCCGGGCUUAACCUGGGAACUGCAUUUGUGACUGCAUGGCUAGAGUGCGGCAGAGGGGAUGGAAUUCCGCGUGUAGCAGUGAAAUGCGUAGAUAUGCGGAGGAACACCGAUGGCGAAGGCAAUCCCCUGGGCCUGCACUGACGCUCAUGCACGAAAGCGUGGGGAGC